CAUUCUGGGUCAUACAUGGAUAAUCUUAAUGUCAAGCUCAAAUCAAAGAAUUUCUUUUAGCCUGUUAUCUGUUGGAUUUGUAAAGCUAGAAAGACUUAUGGAUAAUUAAGCUUCUUAUUUAUUAAGCAGCAAAUGAUGAGACAGGGUCACUAGAGAAAUAUUUGGACUCCUGUGCUGUAUAAACACAGGAAGGGCUAUGUGUUGAGAGAGCACUAUCAGUGUUUUUCUUUAUUUGUAUCAUCUUCCUGUAGAGCAGCUGGUCUCUGACUCCUCUGCCCUCUAUGCCACUGCCCAGGCAUGAUAGAGGUGGGAUGUUCCCCCCAGGGCAGAGGAACCACUUCCUGUUUCUGGACCACCAAUUUUUUUCUUUUCCUCCCUUGAUUAAUAGAUGUUAUUUCUUCUGUCUGGCUUUGAGGUUUCUUGUAGCUCAAUCGAUUUAAGUCUUGAGUUCUAACAUAUGACAAGUGCAAUCAAACUUUGAUAGAUGUAAAGAUUUAUGAAGUGGUAGUGCAAACAUUCAAUAAAAACUGUAGUUCUGGUUGUUCUGAUCGAUGUCUUUUUCUGUCCAGGUUUGCAACAAGAGAGAGAAAUGCCCUUCUACUCUACAAUGGUCGAUUUAAUGAGAAACACGACUUCAUUGCUGUGGAGAUCAUUGAGGAACAGAUUCAACUCACCUUCUCAGCAGGUGAGGCUAAAACAACUGUCGCACCUUUUGUAUCAGGUGGAGUUAGCGAUGGCCAGUGGCAUUCGGUUCAGCUUCACUACUACAACAAGGUAAGAGAUUAAGUCUGUUUCGCUUUUAGUUAUUGGAAUAGUGUUGUUCCUGAAGAUUCACGAUUAUUCUGGAAAUCCAGAACAAGUUAUGGAUGUUGUUUGUUCCCACGACGGUUUUCUUACUAUCCACUUGCAUCUGACCUGAGGAAGGCAGAUUCUUUUAUUCAUGGAAUCUCCGUGUUUGACUUGCAUUGCGUUUCACUUAACCGGAUAUUGUUUUCAAAUGCUUCCACACCCAAAGGCAACAGUGUGUUGUCACGACAUUGCAUAAUUAAGUCUAAAUGCACUUACUAGCAUGUUUUUGCAUGUGUUGCUUACUCUUCCGCUAGAAGAUUAUGACUAGAGUUUAUCUCGUGUUGCCCUCUCCAUGUGACAGUCCCAGUAAGACAAUCUGCUAACUGGAGGCCAUAGGAUUUGUGUAAAGCUUCAAAAGAACUAAUGCACAUGGGUAACAAAAGACACAGUCAUCUUUAUUUCUGUCCUGUGAUUCUCAACUCUUCCAUGCCCAGAACAUCAGAAACUAAAUAUGCCAUUGUGAUGUGCC
ensembl:lncRNA